AGCUCUGUAAGCGUAUACCAAAGUUGUUGCAGUUAAAACGCUCGUAGUCGGACGUUGGCGUGCGCCGCGGGGCGUCCUCACGGACGUGUUUCUUGCGGCGGGCGCCUUUGUGGAUGGGGGCUCGGUGGUGCUUCACUGCCUCGCCGAGUCGCUGCCACCGUUUACUGUGAAAAAAUUAGAGUGUUCAAAGCGGGCGUUUGCCAUGAAUACAUUAGCAUGGAAUAAUAGAAUAGGACCUGGUCCUGUUUUGUUGGUUUGUGAGUAUCAGGUAAUGAUUAAGAGGGACGGUCGGGGGCAUUUGUAUUCCAGCGUCAGAGGUGAAAUUCUUGGAUUGCUGGAAGACAAACAGCUGCGAAAGCGUCUGCCAAGGACGUUUUCAU
rnacentral:rRNA from 1 species